rnacentral:rRNA from 1 species
CGUAGGAGACGAGCGUUAUCCGGAUUUACUGGGCGUAAAGCGCGGGUCGGUGGGCCUUAAGUCAUGCGUGAAAGCUCUCGGCUUAACCGGGAGAGGUCGUGUGAAACUGGGGUUCUGGAGGUAGGUAGAGGCAGAUGGAAUUCCGGGUGGAGUGGUGAAAUGCGUAGAGAUCCGGAGGAACACCAGUGGCGAAGGCGAUCUGCUAGGCCUGACCUGACACUCAGCCGCGACAGCAUGGGGAGCGAACGGGAUUAGAAACCCCGGUAGUCCAUGCCGUAAACGAUGCAUACUAGACGUUGGGGAGGCAUAGCCUCUUCAGUGUCGAAGCCAACGCGAUAAGUAUGCCGCCUGGGGAGUACGAGCGCAAGCUUAA